GCCGGUGUAGCUUAGUUGGUAGAGCACCUGAUUUGUAAUCAGGGGGUCGGCGGUUCGAAUCCGUCCACCGGCACCA
rnacentral:tRNA from 1 species